rnacentral:snRNA from 1 species
GAAUGCUUGAAUAGAGUAAGGC